rnacentral:rRNA from 1 species
UACGUAGGGUGCGAGCGUUAAUCGGAUUUACUGGGCGUAAAGCGUGCGCAGGCGGCCCGUUAAGACAGGUGUGAAAUCCCUGGGCUCAACCUAGGAAUUGCGCUUGUGACUGGAGGGCUCGAGUACGGUAGAGGGGGGUGGAAUUCCUGGUGUAGCAGUGAAAUGCGUAGAGAUCAGGAGGAACACCGAUGGCGAAGGCAGCCCCCUGGGCCUGUACUGACGCUCAUGCACGAAAGCGUGGGGAGCAAACAGG